rnacentral:rRNA from 1 species
AACGGACGCUGGCGGCAGGCUUAACACAUGCAAGUCGAACGCAUCCUUCGGGGUGAGUGGCAGACGGGUGAGUAACGCGUGGGAACGUGCCCUUCAGUUCGGGAUAACCCAGGGAAACUUGGGCUAAUACCGGAUACGUGCGAGAGCAGAAAGAUUUAUCGCUGAAGGAUCGGCCCGCGUCUGAUUAGCUAGUUGGUGAGGUAAUGGCCCACCAAGGCGACGAUCAGUAGCUGGUCUGAGAGGAUGAUCAGCCACAUUGGGACUGAGACACGGCCCAAACUCCUACGGGAGGCAGCAGUGGGGAAUAUUGGACAAUGGGCGCAAGCCUGAUCCAGCCAUGCCGCGUGAGUGAUGAAGGCCUUAGGGUUGUAAAGCUCUUUCGUCCGGGACGAUAAUGACGGUACCGGAAGAAGAAGCCCCGGCUAACUUCGUGCCAGCAGCCGCCGUAA